rnacentral:tRNA from 1 species
GGAGCUGUAGCUCAAUUGGUUAGAGCACCGCCCUGUCACGGCGGGGGUUGCGGGUUCGAGCCCCGUCAGCUCCGCCA